GAUUUCUGGUACGGCGCGCUUGGCCCGCCAGGGUUACCUGGUUGUGUGCUGGUGUGCGCCUGCCAUCCUUUUGCAGAUCCGUUCUAUCCUUUACUGGUGUGAAUUGGUUUGUAAAUCAUUUACUUUGAAAAAAUUAGAGUGUUUCAAGCAGGCUUUAUGCUAUGAAUACAUUAGCAUGGAAUAAUAAUUUAGGACUUCGGUUCUAUUUUGUUGGUUUCUAGGACUGAAGUAAUGAUUGAUAGGGAUAGUUGGGGGUGCUAGUAUUCAGCGGCCAGAGGUGAAAUUCUCGGAUUCGCUGAAGACUAACUUAUGCGAAAGCAUU
rnacentral:rRNA from 1 species